rnacentral:rRNA from 1 species
CCUACGGGUGGCAGCAGUGAGGAAUAUUGGUCAAUGGGCGGAAGCCUGAACCAGCCAAGUAGCGUGCAGGAUGACGGCCCUACGGGUUGUAAACUGCUUUUAUACGGGAAUAACGCGCCUUAAGUGUAGGGCUUUGCAUGUACCGUAUGAAUAAGGACCGGCUAAUUCCGUGCCAGCAGCCGCGGUAAUAAGGAAGGUCCGGGCGUUAUCCGGAUUUAUUGGGGUUCAAGGGGGCGUCGGCCGCAUGUAAAGGGUGCUGUGAAAUGUCCGGGCUCAACCCGGGCCGUGCAGCGCGAAUUGGCGUGCUUGAGUCCGCGGAAAGCAGGCGGAAUUCGUGGUGUAGCGGUGAAAUGCUUAGAUAUGACGAAGAACCCCGAUGGCGAAGGCAGCUUGCUGCAGCGGAACUGACGCUGAUGCUCGAAAGCGCGGGUAUCGAACAGGAUUAGAUACCCUUGUAGUC